GCGCCUGUAGCUCAGCGGAUAGAGCACUAGCCUCCGGAGCUAGGGGCCACAGGUUCAAAUCCUGUCAGGCGCACCA
rnacentral:tRNA from 3 species